CGAACGCUGGCGGCAGGCCUAAUACAUGCAAGUCGAACGGCUCUUCGGAGCAGUGGCGGACGGGUGAGUAACGCGUGGGAAUGUGCCCUUAGGUACGGAACAACACAGGGAAACUUAUGCUAAUACCGUAUGUGCCCUUCGGGGGAAAGAUUUAUCGCCUUUGGAGCAGCCCGCGUUGGAUCAGGUAGUUGGUGAGGUAAAGGCUCACCAAGCCGACGAUCCAUAGCUGGUCUGAGAGGAUGACCAGCCACACUGGGACUGAGACACGGCCCAGACUCCUACGGGAGGCAGCAGUAGGGAAUCUUGCGCAAUGGGCGAAAGCCUGACGCAGCCAUGCCGCAUGUAUGAUGAAGGUCUUAGGAUUGUAAAAUACUUUCACCGGGGAAGAUAAUGACGGUACCCGGAGAAGAAGCCCCGGCUAACUUCGUGCCAGCCGCCGCCGUAA
rnacentral:rRNA from 1 species